GCACUGUUGAAGAGUCCCAUAAUAGGACGAAACGGCCGUCCAGUAC
rnacentral:hammerhead_ribozyme from 1 species